GCAAGUCGAGCGAGGUCUUCGGGCCUAGCGGCGGACGGGUGAGUAACGCGUGGGAACGUGCCCUUUGCUACGGAAUAGUCCCGGGAAACUGGGUUUAAUACCGUAUGUGCCCUCCAUUUUGGUGAUGGUUGGGGAAAGAUUUAUCGGCAAAGGAUCGGCCCGCGUUGGAUUAGGUAGUUGGUGGGGUAAUGGCCUACCAAGCCGACGAUCCAUAGCUGGUUUGAGAGGAUGAUCAGCCACACUGGGACUGAGACACGGCCCAGACUCCUACGGGAGGCAGCAGUGGGGAAUCUUAGACAAUGGGGGCAACCCUGAUCUAGCCAUGCCGCGUGAGUGAUGAAGGCCUUAGGGUUGUAAAGCUCUUUCAGCUGGGAAGAUAAUGACGGUACCAGCAGAAGAAGCCCCGGCUAACUCCGUGCCAGCAGCCGCGGUAAUACGGAGGGGGCUAGCGUUGUUCGGAAUUACUGGGCGUAAAGCGCACGUAGGCGGACUGGAAAGUUGGGGGUGAAAUCCCGGGGCUCAACCUCGGAACUGCCUUCAAAACUAUCAGUCUGGAGUUCGAGAGAGGUGAGUGGAAUUCCGAGUGUAGAGGUGAAAUUCGUAGAUAUUCGGAGGAACACCAGUGGCGAAGGCGGCUCACUGGCUCGAUACUGAC
rnacentral:rRNA from 1 species